GUUUAUUGAUAACCAAAUAUUUUUAAAGAAGUUAACUGUGAAACGUUUCUUUGCAAAACGUAAUUCACAGGAGACAAGUAAUACAACUUUACUCAAUAAAAAGGAGACUAUAGAUAUUUCUGAACGAUCUCAAGAGGUUUUGCCCAAUGUAUUUUCAUCUUUGAAAAGAAAAUCUAAUUUUUAUCCAUCUUACGAAAAAGGUAAAUAUUUAGAAGUA